UAAAAACGACUCUCGGCAACGGAUAUCUCGGCUCUCGCAUCGAUGAAGAACGUAGCGAAAUGCGAUACUUGGUGUGAAUUGCAGAAUCCCGUGAACCAUCGAGUCUUUGAACGCAAGUUGCGCCCGAAGCCAUCCGGUCGAGGGCACGUCUGCCUGGGCGUCACACACC
rnacentral:rRNA from 3 species